rnacentral:rRNA from 1 species
UAACGGCCCACCAAGGCUCCGAUCGGUAGCUGGUUUGAAAGAGCGACCAGCCACACUGGGACUGAAAAACGGCCAAAACUCCUACGGGAGGCAGCAGUGAGGAAUUUUCCGCAAUGGGCGAAAGCCUGACGGAGCGACGCCUCGUGUGGGAAGAAGGCCUUCGGGUCGUAAACCACUGUCGAAGGGGAAUAUACUGAAGGUACCCUUGGAGGAAGCCCCGGCUAACUACCUGCCAGCAGCCGCGGUAAGACGUAGGGGGCGAGCGUUAUUCGGAAUUAUUGGGCGUAAAGCGCUCGUAGGCGGGAAGGCAAGUCCGUGUUGAAAGACCUCUGCUCAGCUGAGGGACCGGCUCGGAUACUGCUUUUCUUGAGGCAAUCAGAGGGUGAUGGAAUUCCCGGUGUAGCGGUGAAAUG